GUGUUCUCUCCAGCACCACAUACACUGGAAUUGUAAAGAUUCAGGGAAGAUUAGCAUGAGGACUGUGCAAGGAUGACUUGCAAAUUUGUGAUGGUUCCAUAUUUUA
ensembl:snRNA U6 U6 spliceosomal RNA